GGCUAACGCUGGCGGCGUGUCUUAGCCAUGCAAGUCGAGCGGACUUAUGGGGUAACUUAUAAGUCAGCGGCGGACGGCGGAGUAACACGUAGCUAACCUACCCUCUGGACGGGGAUAACCUACCGAAAGGUGGGCUAAUACCCGAUGUAGUCAUCCUGUAUAGGGGUGAUGAAAGGUGGGCUUCUGUUUACAAGCUCAUGCUGGAGGAGGGGGCUGCGGCCUAUCAGGUAGUUGGUAGGGUAAUAGCCUACCAAGCCGAUGACGGGUAGCCGGCCUGAGAGGGUGACCGGCCCGAGGGGCACUGAGAUACGGGUCCCACUCCUACGGGAGGCAGCAGGCUAGAAAUUUGGGCAAUGGGGGAAACCCUGACCCAGUGACGCCGCGUGCAGGAAGGAGCCCUUCGGGGUGUAAACUGCUGUCGUGUAGGGAGAAGGGUACUAAGGUGAACAAUCUUAGUACUUGACGGUACUACAGGAGGAAGCCCAGGCCUAACCUCGUG
rnacentral:rRNA from 1 species